AUUUUAUUAAAAAGAGAUAGAGAAAAUGUUGGAAUACAAAAGCGUAAAAGUGCUUAUGUUCAAGUAUAUGGUGUAAAUGCUCAUGAAAAUGAAGACCUGGUUCAUAGUGAUAUUCUAACUCAGGUAUUUGACGAUGGGCAUAAAACAACGGUUAGUGGAUUGUGUGGUGCCAUUUUUUAUGUCCUUUUCAAUCCACACAUUGUAAUCAAAGCUGAAACGAUGCAUAAUAACUUUCAAAUUCAAUCACAAUAUUCGGAGGUAGAACUAGGAAUGCCUAAAAAUAAAUUAAAAGAUUAUACAAUAAAAUUUGAAGAAGACAUAAACAAGCUAGAACAUAAAUGCCAAAUUAAUAAAUAUUUUGUAUUAGAAUUGGAUAGAACAGGUGAAACUUUAAAAAUGACGUGGCAAGUAUUUAGCGGUAUAACCAAAAUAACUGAAGGUAAUUAAAAAAAAAAAAAAAAUGAGUAUGUACAUAUGUGCAUAUGUGUAUGUAUAUAUAUUAUCUAUUUUAUGCUGUAAAUAAUUUUGCAAUUCCUUUUUUAAACCUACAUUUAACAAACACUUUUAUUCCAUAUUCGCAUAUUCGCAUAUUCGCAUUUUCGCAUUACAGAAAAUAAAGCAGACGUUAGAAAUUUCCUUUUACAUAACUUAGAAGAACCCUUUACCAGUGUAGAUAUAUUUACUGCAAAAACCAGUUCUAGUAAUUUUCUGUUCGAAGAUCAGCACUAUGAAUUGCCUACAGAUAUGCCACCUGAAUGCAGCAGAACACUAGCAAAAUGCAUUCUAAAUGACAGUUUAAAUGUUGAAAGGUGCUACGCAUGUCAUACGCAGUUACAGGAUGUGAUCUUCAACCAAUUGUGCCUUGCGUACAGUAAUUAUCCCAUGCCUUAUUCUUAUUACGAGCAACAGUAUUAUACAUAUGAUGAUAAUAAUAACAGAUUACAAAAAAUAUUGGACGAAGAAGGUGAUAAAAAACUCGAUACAAAUAAAGUUACAGAAAAGCCUGAACAAAAUGACCCAACACUUACAUGGUUCGACGGAGGCAUAUAUGCACAAUAUCAACCAGGCGAAGACGCUAACAAAUUACAUUACUUACAUGUAUAUAUAAUAAAAAACAUAUUUGAAUAUGAUAAUCAAGGUAAAAAAAAAGUAAAAAAAUGGGGUAAUAUAAGUAAUUCGCUAAAGGAAGCAUUAUCUAAAAGUUGUAAAUUAUAUAAAAAAUUAGACGAAAGUGGAACAUUUUUAACAAAUGACGUAAGCGAUAGAAAAACAAUAUAUGAAAACAUAAAUAGAUUAUUCGAUGAUGAUGAUGAUGAUAAUUAUGAAUAUGACAAUAGUCUAUAUAGGCUAUCUAACCCCGCAAUAUGUUUGAAAAAUGUAAAUGAUUAUUUAGAACAGAGAUUAGGAUUAGAAUUGGAAUCAGCACAACAAGUGGAUGAGAUUACAGUAACAGAAGCAGAAUACGAACUGAACCAAAUCAAGGAUAAGCCAGCGAAAACAGAGAAAAACAGAAUAUCAAGAUAUGAUAAUAUAUUUGAACGUCCAAACGUAGAAACUUAUUAUACGCCUAAAAGACAUGACUUACUUACUUGUAAUGAAGAACAUUGUUAUAGAUCGCCUCCUCAUCCGUGUUUAUCUAAAAUAGAAACCUAUGAUCAAGGUGCCUGUGCCACUUCUUGGUUAUUUGCAAGUAAAUUACACUUUGAGCUCCUUAUGUGUAUGCACGGAUAUGAGCAUUUGGAUACGUCAGCUUUAUACAUUGUACACUGUAGUAGUACACCGCUCCUACAAAAAUGUGAAAAAGCUUCCAAUGCAUUGGAAUACCUUAAUGUACUCAAGCGUUAUAACUAUUUACCCUUAAAUAAAGAUUACCCAUAUAAACCUGGAGUGGUGGUAGAUGAAUGCCCCUUAAGGAAAAAUAAUGGGAUUAAUACGUUAGACCGAUUUAAAAGACAUAAAGAAGAUCUUCAAAUUAAAAAUAUUUUUGAUAAUAGCAAAUAUAAAUUAUACAAAUCUGCUACCUUUAAAAACGAUAUGCAUAUUUUUAAUGCUAUAAUAAAAAAAAAUAUAAUUUUAAAAGGUUCAGUUAUUGCAUAUAUAAAUGCAAAAAAUAAUAUAGAUUAUAGUACAAGUGGUACAGUAAUAUUAAAUAAAUGUGGUAUAGACAAACCUGACCUCGCAGUUGCUAUUAUAGGUUUUGGUAGCUACAUUGAUAAAGAUGGAGAAGAAAGAGAUUAUUGGAUAAUGAAAAAUAGCUGGGGCUAUUAUUGGGCAAAUGGAGGCGAAUUUAAAAUUGAUGUAAAAGGACCAAUAAAUUGUAAAUAUCAUUUUAUACAUAGUAUAGCUGUAUUUGACAUUGAUAUACCAAAUCAUACAAACACAAAUGACCUUUAUCCUGAUUUAAAACAAUAUUAUCCAAAUGAAAAAAAAAAUAUAUAUGAAGAACUUUAUCAUUUACUUACUAAGCCAAAUAAAUUAACUAUUACAUCAAAAUCUUAUUCUAAUAACAAUUCAACAAAAAAUACAAACAUAACCAAUAUAAAACAUGUUGUAAAGGUGUUUAUUGACGAUUACACUAACGAAAAACACUUUACAUAUACAAGUUUUCAAGAAUUUAUAAAUCCCCAUAACUGUUUAAAAGUUACAAAUAUUAAAGACGAGAACGAUAAUGAUUGUGUACAAUUUUGCAAAGAUCACUGGGAUGAAUGCAAAGAUGAAUUUACUCCUGGCUACUGUUUGGAGAAUUUGCGAAAAACAAAAGACUGUAAUUUCUGUUACUUGUGAAACUGUAACCAAGUUAAAAGUGAAGUUGUAACUUCUGUCACAUGUGUAAUAGUGUGAAUUGGCCUAUGAUGACAUAGUGUCACGUAGACUAAUACGACUUAACACUAAAUGUCAUAGUACAGUUAUCAAAU
ensembl:lncRNA